rnacentral:rRNA from 1 species
AUGGGUCGAACAAACUUCAAUCCAAUUUGGUGUAAGAUUUGGAAGUUAUCUUGUCCAACGAAGGUGAAAAAAUUUAUUUGGCGAACGCUGCAUGGUACUAUUCGAUGUCGUGUUACGCUUGCUAAUAGACACAUGAAAGUUUCACCUUUAUGCCCUUUUUGUGCUUCUGGUUUAGAAGAUACAAAGCAUCUGUUGUUUCAGUGCCAGAAGGCAAAAGAGGUAUGGAGAAGGCUUGGCUUAGACGACAUCAUUGCUCAAGCUUGUGAAGUUGAUCGUGCUGGAGAGGCGGUCCUCGGUUUAUUGUUGCACAUGCCUGACAAAGAUUUAUCUAUUAUGGGGUCCCGGAAUAUUCGGGAGAUGACUGCCAUUACGUCUUGAUAUUUGUGGUGGGAAAGACGUAAAUUAGUGCACAAGGAGAGAAUUCAAGAUGCAAAACAGAUUUCAAUGGGGAUACAAGCUCUUACGGCUAAUUAUGUUGUUGCUUCCGGUCCAAGGGCUACUAUGAAAAGAGGGGGUUGGAUUCGUCCCCUGGUGGGUUUUGUGAACUUAAUGUUGAUGCUUCUUUUGAUCAUGAUCUUCUUAAAGGUACGGCUGGGGCUGUCCCGAGGAACGGCAAAGGGAAUUUUAUUGCAGGGGGUACUUGGAAAAUUGAUCAUUGCGUCGAUGCUCUGA